rnacentral:rRNA from 1 species
GACGAACGCUGGCGGCGUGCUUAACACAUGCAAGUCGAACGGAAAGGCCCUGAUUUUGUGGGGUGCUCGAGUGGCGAACGGGUGAGUAAAACGUGAGUAAACUGCCCUUGACUUUGGGAUAACUUCAGGAAACUGGGGCUAAUACCGGAUAGGAGCUCCUGAUGCAUGGGGGGGGUUGGAAAGUUUCGGCGGUUGGGGAUGGACUCGCGGCUUAUCAGCUUGUUGGUGGGGUAGUGGCUUACAAAGGCUUUGACGGGUAGCCGGCCUGAGAGGGUGACCGGCCACAUUGGGCCUGAGAUACGGCCCAGACUCCUACGGGCGGCAGCAGUGGGGAAUAUUGCACAAUGGGCGGAAGCCUGUUGCAGCAACGCCGCGUGCGUGAUGACGGCCUUCGGGUUGUAAACCGCUUUCGCCUGUGACGAAGCGUGAGUGACGGUAAUUGGUAAAGAAGCACCGGCUAACUACGUG